UUCAUUUUAUUAUUCAACAAUUUUCUUCUGUCUUCUCAACCUCUCUUCUUCUCUAUUUUCUUGAUAUCUCAAAUAGUUGAAAUAUUUUUUUUCUCCAAUCUUCUUCCCCAAGUCGAAAUCUUCGUCCUCUUAUACUCAGAUAAUUUUGAGCAUAUUUGAUUCUAUAUUGUCAAAAAUUAGCAAGGAAUAUCACAUUUUGGAGAUUGGGUUUGGUUGAGGAGGAUUCGUUGAGGAGGUUCUUAUGCAAACAUGAUGUCAAUAUACUGGUAUAACUCUUUCCGAGCAACAGCCGGAGUAUGCAAAGUUGAGAAUUGAGUAAGCAGGUCUUCAAGUAUACCACUUGCAUUGUCUAUGGAAGAAAAAAGUUUCUAUGUUACUAAGAUGUAUAGUUUCUAUAUGCUGAGGCAAGUGAUAAAAAGAAAUUAGAAAAUUCUACUUCAUGAACUAAACCUUCUAUAACUAAAAUGAUUUGUUUAUUGAUCGCGGUGUCUGGGACAACUUAGGAACAACUUAGUACUUCUUUGUACUUCCUAUUAACAUAGAAACAGGAUAAAUAUGACAGGAUUAUAUUGGUGUAUGCUUUUAUCCUUCUAUAUAUUGACAUAUUGAUUGUAGUACUUAAUAAAUGUCAAGCCAAUGUUACAAUUG